CUCAGCGUCCUGGCUCGGGUGGGCCCCGGGGUGGAGGGCGAGGCGCGGAGCUUCGAGUGUCACGACCCCCCCGUCGGGUCCCCCAACCUCAUCCUGUCGUGGCAUCAGGCUCAGGCUCCAGCAUCCCGUCACCGAAAUCAGGCCCAGGUGCGCGUGAGCCGUCCUGGCUGCUGGUCAGGAGUGCAGCUUCGUGAACACGCUCUUCACGUGAGGACCCACGCCCCAAGCCACCUGCCCCGCACCGGACACGCAGUGGCAGACGCGCGUGGGACAGAUGCCGCGGGCCCUGCGGCUGGAACCAGCAGGAUGUUCGUACUUGGACGGAGACAGACUCGUUUCUGCUGAGGAACAAGAAGAAUGUGGUGACACCAUAUGGAAACACCUGAUGUUCCACAAAGGAAGAGGCUCCUGACGGAUCCGUGAGGAAGGCCAGCUCUCAGGGCAGUAAUUGUGUUUUUCUAACACCUGGGCAAGUGAAUUAUGGACACCCCCCGGGGGUGAACAGUGCGCACGCAGACGCAUCAGGACUGCUGCUGAUGCUGCGAGGCGAGACUAAUAUAAAUGGGAGUCGUACAAAUAAAAGCUCCGUGGGGGGGCUCUCUACCGAAGCCCGAGUUCAAGUCCCCCUUCUGAAGUUUAGAGACAGCCUGCCUGGGUGGUGUUUGUCCUCGGACCCAGUGAGGAGACCCGGAGUGAUGAACACUGACUCGGAAGGAGGGGGCAUGCCCCGGUGGGUCAGCCGUACCCAGUAGCCCAGUGCUUUGGGGACGGAGCCGCGGAUACCCGGCCGGUGCCUGCGCGGGACCCUCAUCAAAGCAUCAGUGCUGCGGCCUGGGGACCAAGCCACGGAGACCCCGACGCCCGGCUGGCCAUCAGUAGCGUGCCUGCGGUUCAGCAGCUCAGCCGAGAGUGCAUCUAGGGCCGACCGCCUCCUGCACGCGGGAGAGGGCAGCGCUGUGUGAGCGCCACGGGGGCUGUGGACGCAGAAGUGAAAUCUGAUCGCGGGCCAGGAAAGGCCUGCGCAGCUAGAGCCCAGAGGAACCGCCGACCUUGAGUCAGGGCGCGGUCAUGGUGGGCUGCUGAGCGGGGGUCGGGC